rnacentral:lncRNA from 1 species
UCAUUAAGGACAUCACACUAUAUCACCGUCACAGAAGCAAAAGUUGGUAGAUAACCAAAAACAACCAAUGGAGCACAAAUUUUAAAUCAAUACAUUUAUUUAAAAUAAAACCAUUUACCCUUUUUCUUACCCUUGGAGAACCUACGAAAACAACCUAUAAAGACAAUAACAUCAUACAGAUCACAAUUUCAUGCAUAAUCAGUAACAUAAAAACAUAUCAUAAAUCCGU